CUGGAUAUCCCUGCCUACCUGAGGCCUUCUGAAGCUGACCAGCCCCUGGAUGGGAAAUUGCCUCUUGGAAUUAUCAAAUGUCUCAAUUUUAAGCAAAGAGGAGCGGUCACACAUAUAACCCAGGGUUCAUCAAAGGCCCAUCUACAUCAAAACUCUUCAUUUGGCAAAAAAAAAUCUAUCAACCAAAAAAAGAGUUGAAGAAAACAAACACCUGGAGCCUCCAAGCACGGCCCUGAGUGCUGCCCCUGAUUUUGGAUGACACCCUGCAGAAUGCAUGGCAGCAGUACCCCCACCUUGGUACUGUGAGAGACAUAUUCCCACCUCUGAUGUUCUCAGGCCCUUCUAUCUGCACCAUGGUAGCCAUUGCAGCAUGAUCUCACAGCGCACUGUGGCAUUGGGGUGGCUGGUGGGAGGAUCUUGGGGAAGCAAAUCCUUUCUCACAUGUGUUAUCUAUCCUC
ensembl:lncRNA